rnacentral:tRNA from 1 species
GGGAGACUAAUUCAAUCGGUAGAAUGGCAGCCUCCAAAGUUGCUCAUGGGGGUUCAAGUCCCUCGUCUCUUG